rnacentral:rRNA from 1 species
CCUACGGGAGGCAGCAGUGGGGAAUAUUGCACAAUGGGCGAAAGCCUGAUGCAGCAACGCCGCGUGAAGGAUGACGGGUUUCGGCUCGUAAACUUCUAUCAACAGGGACGAAAGAAAUGACGGUACCUGAAUAAGUAGCCCCGGCUAAAUACGUGCCAUCAGCCGCGGUAAUACGUGGGGGGCAAGCGUUACCCGGAAUUAAUGGGUGUAAAGGGUGAGUAGGGGGCAUGGUAAGCCAGAUGUGAAAGCCUUGGGCUUAACCCGAGGACUGCAGUUGGAACUAGCAAGCUAGAGUACAGGAGAGGAAAGCGGAAUUCGUAGUGUAGCGGUGAAAUGCGUAGAUAUUAGGAAGAACACCAGUGGCGAAGGCGGCUUUCUGGACUGAAACUGACGCUGAGGCACGAAAGCGUGGGGAGCGAACAGGAUUAGAUACCCCUGUAGUC